CCCCCCCCAGCACGCGCACACAAAAGGGUUCAUUCACACCAGAAAGUGAUUACAGAAAAGCAUAAUUAAUGGGGCUCCUUAACGUUAAAUGCACACACACACACACACACACACAGAGAUAUGAGUACAUGCUGCAUGUGAGCAAAGGGCCUGUCGCCGGUUAUCAUUCACGUCUACGUUCCCCGUCUUUGAUUUGAACGAGGGGCGUACAGCCGUAAGCCCGCUCGGAGCCCAGUGACCUGAAACUUUCUAAAUGACAGACAGAGAGCGGCGCUGGAGAACGUAAUGACACAGAGACGUGAGAUAAGCCAGGCCCGUUAAGAAGAAUAUCUGACUGCCAAUCAGCGCCUGUGAUCCUUGUGUUUGCCCAGCGGCUGUUUGCUGAGGGUCCGACCUCUUCGCGAGCAGCGCAGUGCUCCGCGCGCACACAGAUCAGUGACUUCCGUUAUGUGGAAAGACGUUUACCCGGCUGCUCCACCAGAGGAGCUCAAACUCCUUCGCUGAACCAAACCGGAGCUCUGUGGCUUGGUUCAUGUUUGCUUCGUGUAGCACGUUUUGUCUUAAACUCCGAGUGUAUGAUUCAACUCCGCUUCUCGGUCCUCGGGGGUCAGGCUCUGCUUUGACAAAGGUAACGUACUCGACCUGCUCGACGCCCGGAAGCAGACAGAUGUAGCAACUACAUGAUGGAAACAACGGGAAAUAAAACGUUGCGUUAGGGGAGAAAAGGAGAGUAAUUAUUUAACUUAAUCAAGCAUAUGGAAUGUGUCUCACUGUAUGUUCACAAGCCUGUCUUUCUGUCGGCCGUUUGCUGCUAAAUCUUUAGUGCACCGUGGGAUUAAUCACACAAUUUUCUUAUAUUGCAGCUGAAGACAACGUUGAUGAGGGCUAGAAUAAUCCCAGCCAGACUUUACCAGCCCCUGUGAGGGGUUUGACUCGUUGACCUUUCACGUCCCUCGUCAACAUGGCAAGUAAACACUGGUUUCUUCGGUCAAUCAGGACCCAGAGGCUUGCUAAUAGGACUUAUAUGCAAAUAACGGCUGGUAGGCGCUGUAGAGUCUCGGUAGAAUCUUUGUAGAAGUCAAUUUUGAUCCUGUGCCUAAAACACAUCUGCAUAUUUUGGGGGUAAAUAUAUUUGCAUAUGUUCCAGGCACCCUGCCCGAGUUCUGAUGAUGAGGGUUAUGAGGAAGAUGCAGGCUUGCAUGCUUGUUUACGAUCAUGACGCACCUAUUCAUUCUUACACACACAGACACACACACAGGGGUCUCAAAGCCUCGCGCACUGUAUGUGAGCACGAGGACACGUGUGACACAUACAUGCGUCUGUCUGGUUGAGCGUGUGCUUUAGGGACUUUCUGAUCAAAUUUUUCUUCGGAUUAUGUAUAUUCAUGAUCAAUCAGCACGGAGUGCAGUUAAGCGUAGCCCAUCAGAUUCUACCCAAACAUUCCUCAAUUUGCAUAUUUUAAUUGCCACUGCAACAAGUGGGUUUGUGACGCAUCAACUCCCACACACACACACACACACACACACACAGGUUGUAUGACAGAGAGCUGCUUCUCAGUUAAAUUUACACUUUUAGGAGCCAUUGUAUUCCCUCUCUAAUCCGCUCUCUGUAACUCUAUUUUGCUUUGGCUAUUUGUAUAAGUAAUUAUUCUGGCCUCUUCCCCUACAGUCUGCUUGGAAUUCAAUUAAGGUAUCGUCGGGUAGAUGUGUGUGUGUGCGUGUGUGUGUGUGUGUGUGUGUGUGUGCCUGUGGAUAAUAGACAGCGAGAUUGAUUGUGUUUCCAUUGUUUAGGUGUCAACAACACAUGGUGGGUUAUGCGUUUGCAUAUUGUUAAUUCCCCCCCACUGUGCACGCUUCUGCAUCUCUGCAUGUUUCCACCCGAUUUGUGUCUACAUGCUUUUGCGUGUGUGUGUGUGUGUGUGUGCGCGAGCAUGAGUUUGUGAGUCAAGUGUGUCCUGCCAAGUCGAGAGGUCCCUCCACAUUGACUCUCGAUCUGACAGGCCUGCUGACACUCUAGCAUUUAGCCGUGCGCGUGUGUUUGUGUGUGCUUGUGUGUGUUUGUGGGGUGUGAGUGACAAGUUGUGACACACUAGCAUUUGUCUCGUAAAUGCCAGGACAGAGAAGUGACACCAAAGGGCAGGCAGACAGCGAGCGAAAGGCAGCGAGAGACACUGAAAUAUGUGUAACCAUUGAGAAGUUCAGUCGAGGUGAGGAGAGAGAUGAAGGGAAAUUGUUUAGCUGUGAUCUCACAAUUAAUUUGUGGUUUGCCCGUAUUUUUUGAUUAAAAAAAACAGAAAGUAAAAAGAGAGAACCUGCACACUGCAGAUCACCCUCGUCUGCCGAGGUGUCUGUCUGGCUUACAGCACUUUUGCACACAAAUCCUUUUCUCCCGUCUCGGUGCAGACACACUGCAACAAAUCCCAGUCUUAACAAGUCUGUUAUUCGGACCUACGCUAGAGGUCUUACUUUGUCACGCAGGUGAAACAUCAUGGCGGCGCACUGAUUUGUAUAAUGUAAAUGUUUCCGGAUGUUGUUGCCGUCAGCAGCAAAGGAGCUCUCCGAGGUGCUCGUCUGCCCCUGUUUCACCACAUACUACUCAAUAUAAUCAUGGUUAGUGCUGUGCAUCUCUUUGUGCUCGGAUCACCAAAUCCACGGAGACUGCGUACACACCAA
ensembl:lncRNA